AGUGGCGGACGGGUGAGUAACGCGUGGGUAACCUGCCAUGUACAGGGGAUAACACUAGAAAUAGGUGCUAAUACCGCAUAAGCCUACAGGAUCGCAUGAUCCAGUAAGAAAAACUACCGGUGGUACAUGAUGGACCCGCGUCUGAUUAGCUAGUUGGUGAGGUAGUAGCUCACCAAGGCGACGAUCAGUAGCCGGCCUGAGAGGGUGAACGGCCACAUUGGGACUGAGACACGGCCCAAACUCCUACGGGAGGCAGCAGUGGGGAAUAUUGCACAAUGGGGGAAACCUGAUGCAGCGACGCCGCGUGAGUGAAGAAGUAUUUCGGUUAUGUAAAGCUCUAUCAGCAGGGAAGAAAAUGACGGUACCUGACUAAGAAGCCCCGGCUAACUACGUGCCAGCAGCCGC
rnacentral:rRNA from 1 species